UACAGAGGGUGCGAGCGUUAAUCGGAAUUACUGGGCGUAAAGCGUGCGUAGACGGUUAUUUAAGUCGGGUGUGAAAGCCCCGGGCUCAACCUGGGAAUUGCAUUCGAGACUGAAUAGCUAGGGUACGGUAGAGGGAAGCGGAAUUUCCGGUGUAGCGGUGAAAUGCGUAGAUAUCGGAAGGAACAUCAGUGGCGAAAGCGGCUUCCUGGACCAGUACCGACGUUCAGGCACGAAAGCGUGGGGAGCAAAAGGG
rnacentral:rRNA from 1 species